AUGAAGCGAAAGUAAAAUUUCGUGGAGGUCCGAACCCACGAGCGUUGAAAAGCUCGGGGAUGACUGGUGGGUAGCGGUGAAAUUCCAAUCGAGCCCGGAGAUAGCUGGUUCUCCCCGAAAUAGCUUUAGGGCUAGCCUCA
rnacentral:rRNA from 1 species